rnacentral:rRNA from 1 species
AGAGUUUGAUCAUGGCUCAGGAUGAACGCUGGCGGCGUGCCUAAUACAUGCAAGUCGAACGAGUUUUGGUCGAUGAACGGUGCUUGCAUCGUGAUUCAACUUAAAACGAGUGGCGGACGGGUGAGUAACACGUGGGUAACCUGCCCUUAAGUGGGGGAUAACAUUUGGAAACAGAUGCUAAUACCGCAUAAAUCCAAGAACCGCAUGGUUCUUGGCUGAAAGAUGGCGUAAGCUAUCGCUUUUGGAUGGACCCGCGGCGUAUUAGCUAGUUGGUGAGGUAACGGCUCACCAAGGCCAUGAUACGUAGCCGAACUGAGAGGUUGAUCGGCCACAUUGGGACUGAGACACGGCCCAAACUCCUACGGGAGGCAGCAGUAGGGAAUCUUCCACAAUGGACGCAAGUCUGAUGGAGCAACGCCGCGUGAGUGAAGAAGGCUUUCGGGUCGUAAAACUCUGUUGUUGGAGAAGAAUGGUCGGCAGAGUAACUGUUGUCGGCGUGACGGUAUCCAACCAGAAAGCCACGGCUAACUACGUGCCAGCAGCCGCGGUAAUACGUAGGUGGCAAGCGUUAUCCGGAUUUAUUGGGCGUAAAGCGAGCGCAGGCGGUUUUUUAAGUCUGAUGUGAAAGCCCUCGGCUUAACCGAGGAAGCGCAUCGGAAACUGGGAAACUUGAGUGCAGAAGAGGACAGUGGAACUCCAUGUGUAGCGGUGAAAUGCGUAGAUAUAUGGAAGAACACCAGUGGCGAAGGCGGC